rnacentral:tRNA from 1 species
GCCUCCGUAGCUCAGUUUGGAUAGAGCACUUGCCUCCUAAGCAAGGGGUCGCGCGUUCAAAUUCUGCAUUUCAUCACUUAGGUGAUGUCUGCAAAAGAAAUUCGCGUCGGGGGCA